UACGGGGGGGGCAAGCGUUGUUCGGAAUUACUGGGCGUAAAGGCUCGUAGGCGGCCAACUAAGUCAGACGUGAAAUCCCCAGGCUCAACCUGGGAACUGCGUCUGAUACUGGAUGCUUGGAAUCCGGGAGAGGGAUGCAGAAUUCCAGGUGUAGCGGUGAAAUGCGUAGAUAUCUGGAGGAAUACCGGUGGCGAAGGCGGCAUCCUGGACCGGCAUUGACGCUGAGGAGCGAAAGCCAGGGGGAGCAAAGCGGG
rnacentral:rRNA from 1 species